UAGCCUGGUAGACAAUUCCAGUGCUUCCUGAAUCUGAGUCUCUGAGCCACAGCUCUAACUACCCGUCCCUGAUAAAUGCCUCUUUAUCUCAAAUCAAUCUCCAUUUCUGAAAUUUCAGUUAAUAAGAGCAGUAUAUUACAAAAACAUUGGUACACCUAACCCACAGGAAACGGAAGGGAACUUCCUUUUUUUUAAAAUACUUGCUUAUUCUGCCAGAGGCUGCUUCAAGAUAUUCAGACCGAGUCUAAAGACAAGUCUCCCCGGAACGUUUGUAUUCCUAGAAAUGGGGCUGAGUAGGGGCGGGGGGGCAGGGAGAAGAGACUCAGGCCAGUUCCAAAUGGAUCUCUACUUUCCAAUUAAAAUAGCGAUGUGGGGGCAGGGUGGUCUGAGACAUAAAAAGAGGGAGAGACCCUGAACCAAGUCACUAGGUAAGGCCUGCUGAACCUGCAGCCUUUCCCAAGCCUUUAUCCCCAGACCACAGGACCUGUCCUAAGGAAUCUCCCACCCAUCACUCCAGUGAAGAGAGCGGGUCAGGGCCCCAGGCAGCUGGAGUGAAAUCAAGUUGGGUUUUUGGAAAUUGCCUGUUUAGCCUGGACGCUCACCCCCACAUUGGGAAAGACCCGGCAAGGCCUUCCUCUUCUUAGUGGCGGUUCCUCCUUCACCAUGACCAGGCAUUGGAGCAGGGGCGGUGGAGUGGGGAUGGAGGGUCUCAGGACUGCAAACUCCACUGUCACUCCCCAUGCACUCUCCAGCAGCCCUCCAAAUUCCGAAAAUUGCGCUGGCCUGGGAGCCUGCAUCCCUCUGGAGGCAGCUGUUUGCAGGAUGCCAGGAAGUGACUGGAGCACUAGACUGGCUGCCAGGGGUCCAGAUGCAACCUGCCUCACCCUGCGUACUUUGACACAUGGUUUUGCUUCCUAUUUCUUUUCUCGGAAGGAGAAGCAGAAGAGAAAGCUUGAACUCUGGUAAACCAGAUGUGAUUCAGGGUUCAUGGGCUUGGUUCCAUAGUCCCACUUCUGGACCCUGAAACCUACCCUGACCGGUAGUGCCUGACUUGGGAGUGGGGAGGAGGACUGACAGUGGGUCAAAAAGAACCCCUCUGUGUAGCCUUUCUCCCAAACUCGGUCCCUCCCUGGCAGAGUAGAAGAAAGUCUGCAGAGGGUUCCAAAGUCUUGGAGCCGCUCUGGCCUAACAGAGAUGGAGGAUAAGGCUCUGUCUCUUUGUAGUUAACCUGUGAUAACCAAGACUUCUAAGAACAGAAACCCUUGUCGAGGCCCCCCCAAAAGGCAUUCAUUUGUGGUUGUUAGGACUGCAGGAGGUACAGAUGGAGAAGCAAUGAAUUGUGUCCCAGGGGACUACAAAAUGGGGGAAGUUGAUAAAUGCCAAAAAAGCUGCAAGUUUACACAAAAUUGUCCAGAAUUAACAUAGGAACUGGUAAGAAGAAAGGGUGCUUGUCUAAAUAAGGAUUGCUUGGGUGGGGAGAGGCUUUUUGAAACUUAGUUUGCAACUGGUAGCUGCUUGCAGGUGUUAUUUUGAAAGUGGGGGGUGGUGCUCUUGGGUUUAAUACAGUUCAGAAAAUUCAAGUUCUUAGUAAUGCAAGAAUGUGUCUGAAACCACAUCUACCGAUCUGACUCCAUUUAGAUGCCUGAACCAUAGUUACUCCAUUUUGAGUUUUAAGUGAUCUUAAAUAUGCCGUUUCCUGAAUCCACCACCCUUUCUUGGACUUUCUUGGGGUGGUUAGAUUUCAAAGCUGAGGAUCUGGCCACAGUGAGAUUGAUCUAGUUGGAAUAGAGUUUAUAUACAUAUUGUGAAAACAAGACAGUAACUGUAGAAAUCAGUCUUUGAUCAACAACAUUUUUUUUUCUAGUGGAUUGUUUUAAUCCCUGAAGUGAUUUAGAAGUUUCACCAGGUAUUGAUAAUAAAAAGCAAAUGACUCUUUGGAAAACAGUGUGGCGGUUUCUUAAGAAAGUGAUGUACUUAUUAUAUGAUCCAACAAUCCCCCUUUUUGGCAUUUACCCAAGUGAGUUGAAAACUGACUGCUUAUGCAAAACCUGCGCAAAUGUGUUUACACAGCUGUAUUCAUGACUGCCAAAACUUGGAAGCAACCAAGAUGCCUGUCGAUGGCUAAACAUAUGGUAGAACCUCCAAACAGUGGCCGAAUAAUCAGGGACUUAGGGAAAAAGAAAGUUCUCAAGUCAAGAAAAGACAUAAGAGAGGCUUUAGCGCAGGGUACUAAAUGAAAGAAGACCAUUUGAAAAGGCUACAUAUUGUAAAAUUCCAACAAUGUGACAUUCGGGAAAAGGCAAAACUAUGGAGACAGUGAAAAGAUCUGUCUGGAACACUAAGAAGGGAGGUUGGGAGGGAUGAACAGGUGGAGGCCAAGGGAUUUUUAAAACAGUGAAACUAUUCUGUAUGAUCCUGGAAUGAUGGAUUCAUGUCAUUAUACAUCUUUCAAAAUCUAUAGCAUAUAGGAAAGAAAGGAUGAACCCUAAUGCAGACCAUGGACUUCAGUUAAUAAUAAGUUAGCAAAAUUUGCUCUCAGCUAUAAUCAUGUAACACAUUAGGUCUGCCUAGGGAGGAACACACAAGGCCAAGUCAGAAAAGCAAGUGAGGAGUUCCCAUAGUGGCUCAGUGGAAAUGAAUACGACUAGUAUCCAUGAGGACGAAAGAUCGAUCCCUGGCCUUGCUCAUGGUUUAAGGAUCUGGCGUUGCCGUGAGCUGUGGUGUAGGUUGUAGAUGCAGCUCGGAUCCUGCAUUGCUGUGGCCCUAGUGUAGGCUGGCGGCUGGAGCUCCGAUUGGACCCCUAGCCUGGGAACCUCCGUAUGCCACAGGAGCGGCCCUAGAAAAGGCAAAAGGACAAAAAGAAAAAAAAA
ensembl:lncRNA